rnacentral:rRNA from 1 species
CGACAAGGGGAGUGAAAAACUCCCCCGCCGGAAGACCAAGGGUUUCUGUUCGACGCUAAUCGGAGCAGAGUGAGUCGGCCCCUAAGGCGAGGCCGAAAGGCGUAGUCGAUGGGAAACGGGUCAAUAUUCCCGUACCUCACUGUAUUGCGAUGGGGGGACGAAGAAGGCUAGGUGAGCCAGGCGUUGGUUGUCCUGGUGAAAGCCAGUAGGCUGGGAUCUCAGGCAAAUCCGGGAUCCUAAGGCCGAGAGGCGAGACGAACUGACCACGGUCAGGAAGUCAUCGAUGCCACGCUUCCAGGAAAAGCCUCUAAGCUUCAGAUACAGUGGGACCGUACCCCAAACCGACACAGGUGGUCAGGUAGAGAAUACCAAGGCGCUUGAGAGAACUCGGGUGAAGGAACUAGGCAAAAUGGUGCCGUAACUUCGGGAGAAGGCACGCCGCGUUAGUGUGAAGGGACUUGCUCCCGGAGCACGAGGCGGUCGAAGAUACCAGGUGGCUGCA